CGGGGAGCGUUCGCGCUUCCGCCGGCGACCGGCGCACGGGUGAGUAACACGUAUGGAACCUGCCCGCAGCAGGGGGAUAAUCGGGGGAAACCCCGUCUAAUACCGCGUAACGACCCGGAGGGGCAUCCCUUCGGGUCCAAAGGUUUACCGGCUGCGGAUGGCCAUGCGUCGCAUUAGCUUGUUGGCGGGGUAACGGCCCACCAAGACGACGAUGCGUAGGGGUUCUGAGAGGAAGGUCCCCCACACUGGUACUGAGACACGGACCAGACUCCUACGGGAGGCAGCAG
rnacentral:rRNA from 1 species